rnacentral:sRNA from 1 species
CUCCGGUUCUGAGCGCGCCGUCCGCGCCCACCUGACAGCUCUCGCUACGUUUUGUUAGCC